GGCUCACUUCCUAUGUGGAGGCCCAGCCCACAGUGAAAUUAGGUUAGGUCCCUUUUGCUUUUCAUUCUUUCAAUGGAUGAGUGAGUGCAGUCAAGGUGCAAGAGAGAGAGCAGAGAGAGCCAUCCAGAAACUCUUGGAGAGAGCCAACAGUGUGUCAUCCAUAGAGAGUGAUAUAGAGAGUGAAAUAGAGAGUGAUAGUGAAGCAGAGAAAAGGAGAAAGUUUCGUCAGAAACUUCCGAC
rnacentral:lncRNA from 1 species